UACGGGGGGGGCGAGCGCUGUUCGGAAUCACUGGGCGUAAAGGGCGCGUAGGCGGCCCGCACAAGUCUGCGGUGAAAACCCCCGGCUUAACCGGGGGCCGGCCGUGGAAACUGUCGGGCUGGAGGCUGGGAGAGGGCAGCGGAAUUCCCGGUGUAGCGGUGAAAUGCGUAGAGAUCGGGAGGAACACCGGCGGCGAAGGCGGCUGCCUGGACCAGUCCUGACGCUGAGGCGCGAAAGCUAGGGGAGCAAACAGG
rnacentral:rRNA from 1 species